rnacentral:rRNA from 1 species
AUUGAACGCUGGCGGCAGGCUUAACACAUGCAAGUCGAGCGGAGAUGAGGUGCUUGCACCUUAUCUUAGCGGCGGACGGGUGAGUAAUGCUUAGGAAUCUGCCAUUUAGUGGGGGACAACAUUCCGAAAGGAAUGCUAAUACCGCAUACGUCCUACGGGAGAAAGCAGGGGAUCUUCGGACCUUGCGCUAAAUGAUGAGCCUAAGUCGGAUUAGCUAGUUGGUGGGGUAAAGGCCUACCAAGGCGACGAUCUGUAGCGGGUCUGAGAGGAUGAUCCGCCACACUGGGACUGAGACACGGCCCAGACUCCUACGGGAGGCAGCAGUGGGGAAUAUUGGACAAUGGGGGGAACCCUGAUCCAGCCAUGCCGCGUGUGUGAAGAAGGCCUUAUGGUUGUAAAGCACGUUAAGCGAGGAGGAGGCUACUGAGACUAAUACUCUUGGAUAGUGGACGUUACUCGCAGAAUAAGCACCGGCUAACUCUGUG